GACAGAGGGUGCCAACGUUGCUCGGAAUUACUGGGCGUAAAGCGCGUGUAGGCGGCCGCGCGAGUCGGGUGUGAAAGCCCGGGGCUCAACCCCGGACGUGCAUCCGGUACUACGCGGCUGGAGGCCUGAAGAGGAGGGCGGAAUUCCCGGUGUAGAGGUGAAAUUCGUAGAUAUCGGGAGGAACACCAGUGGCGAAGGCGGCUCUCUGGACAGGUGCUGACGCUGAGACGCGAAAGCGUGGGUAGCAAACAGGAUUAGAUACCCUGGUAGUCCACGCCGUAAACGAUGAGCACUGGGUGUCGCGGGUAUUGACCCCCGCGGUGCCGAAGCCAACGCGUUAAGUGCUCCGCCUGGGAAGUACGGCCGCAAGGCUAAA
rnacentral:rRNA from 1 species